rnacentral:ncRNA from 1 species
UACCUGGUUGAUCCUGCCAGUAGUCAUAUGCUUGUCUCAAAGAUUAAGCCAUGCAAGUCUAAGUACGAGCUCUCGUACAGUGAAACUGCGAAUGGCUCAUUAAAUCAGUUAUGGUUCAUUUGAUCGUACAGUUUACUUGGAUAACUGUGGUAAUUCUAGAGCUAAUACAUGCGAG